rnacentral:rRNA from 1 species
AUACGUAGGUGGCAAGCGUUGUCCGGAAUUAUUGGGCGUAAAGCGCAUGUAGGCGGUGCCUUAAGUCUGUCGUGAAACUGCGGGGCCUAACCCCGUAUGGCGAUGGAAACUGGGGCACUUGAGUGCAGGAGAGGAAAGGGGAACUCCCAGUGUAGCGGUGAAAUGCGUAGAUAUUGGGAAGAACCCCGGUGGCGAAGGCGCCUGUCUGGACGGGGACUGACGCUGAGGUGCGAAAGCAAGGGGAGCGAACGGGAUGAGAUACCCCGGUAGUCCUGGCCGUAAACGAUGGUUACUAGGGGUGGGAGGUAUCGACCCCCUCCGUGCCGGAGUUAACGCAAUAAGUACCCCGCCUGGGGAGUACGGCCGCAAGGCUUAAACUCAAAGGAAUUGACGGGG